GAGCCAAGAUCGCGCCACUGCCUUCCAGCCUGGGCGACAGAGCGAAACUCCGUCUCAAAAACAAACAAAAACCCCAAAACACAAAAAGACAUAAAAACUAUUUGGAUAACUCUAGCAUUUACCCAAGAUGUUAAGGAAUCUAAAAGGGAGUUCUUAAAGACAAUAGAUGAGACAAAGCCAUUUCCAGUGUCGGCCCAUUUAAUAAACUGGUUCCACCUGGAUUUUCUCUUCAUUGUGGUGAAAGCCACCACCUAACAAUGCUGGCCCUGCCUGCAUCAUCGCAUGUCAUCAUGACAACCUAUGGGGGAGAACAGCUCCAUUCAACAGAUGCAGAAACUGCAGGUUAAAGGGUGAAAAGCAGUUGCGAAGUCCCCACAGCUUGGAAAUGGUGGAGCCGAGACUGAAACCCAGGUGUGCUAGCAUCUAAAGUUCAUGCUCUUUCCACCACAUUAGACUGUAUUCUGAGGGCACCAAGGAAGCUCCAUUUUUCUUAAGAAACCAAAUUGCAGUCCUCCAGGACCACAGCCAGGGGAGCAUCUUCGUGGGAGAGUGGCUGCUGCUCAGAGUUGUGACUCCCAUCCUUAAGAGUCCUCUGUCCUCUCUGGCCUCCUUUCUACUGAUCAUUGCUGUCCCCUUCACAGGGGAGAGGGGCCAUGGCCUAUCCCCUAAAGAGUCUGCCAAGGUAGACUCAUAACCUCCCCGUGGCACAGCUCAGACAAGCUGGGCUAUUUACAUAAGACUUGACCCAGGGCUUGAGGACAGCGCGAGGAAUGAGGUGCAGAGGAGACUGCUGCUUCUGGGUGACAGUCUGCCUGGCUGACCACAGCUGGGGUACUCAUUGGCCUCUUGAGGCCCCCCACAGGCCUGCCCUGCCUGACCUACUCUUGUGAGGCCAAGGCCAUCUCCUCCACUCUCUGGGGGCCUCUUCUGACUCCUCCAAACUCUUCCAUGUCUGGACUCCUGGCUUCUGCCCAAGGCCAUCUAUUGGAGUUUGGGUUUCCAGUUGAGGAUCUGCCUUUUUCCUGGAUGACCAAACCUAGAAUGUGACCGGCCUCAUGCUCCCUCCUCACAAGGGUGUGGCUUUAUCCGAGGGCCUCAGCAAGGCAACCAACACCAGACAUGAAGCUGCGACUCCAAGUGCAUCAGCAUAGGCAUUGCCAGGAGCUCAUGAGGAAUGCAGACUGUCAGGUCCCACCCCAGACCUACUCAACAGAAACUACUUGGUAAGCAGAUUCCCAGGUGGUUCCAGGCACCUUACAGUUUGAAAAGCACUGCUGCAUGCUAUCCUACCUUCC
rnacentral:lncRNA from 10 species